AAAGUCGUAACAAGGUUUCCGUAGGUGAACCUGCGGAAGGAUCAUUACCUUUCAAUGCAGAAGUAUUGGGCAGGUGAGUUGUUCUAGCAACAACUCCCUUUCUAACACUUCCUGUAUUAUACCCUUGUCUCUCAAAUACUAUUUGUUUCCUCGGCAGGCUUGCCUGCCGAUUGGAUAUCACAAUAACCUAUUUAAUUUUCAAUCAGCGUCUGAACAAGUUAAUAAUUACAACUUUCAACAACGGAUCUCUUGGUUCUG
rnacentral:misc_RNA from 1 species